rnacentral:rRNA from 1 species
UACGUAGGUGGCAAGCGUUAUCCGGAUUUAUUGGGCGUAAAGGGAACGCAGGCGGUCUUUUAAGUCUGAUGUGAAAGCCUUCGGCUUAACCGGAGUAGUGCAUUGGAAACUGGGAGACUUGGGUGCAGAAGAGGAGAGUGGAACUCCAUGUGUAGCGGUGAAAUGCGUAGAUAUAUGGAAGAACACCAGUGGCGAAAGCGGCUCUCAGGUCUGUAACUGACGCUGAGGUUCGAAAGCGUGGGUAGCAAACAGG